GAUGAACGCUGGCGGCGUGCCUAAUACAUGCAAGUCGAGCGAAUGGAUUAAGAGCUUGCUCUUAUGAAGUUAGCGGCGGACGGGUGAGUAACACGUGGGUAACCUGCCCAUAAGACUGGGAUAACUCCGGGAAACCGGGGCUGAUACCGGAUAACAUUUUGAACCGCAUGGUUCGAAAUUGAAAGGCGGCUUCGGCUGUCACUUAUGGAUGGACCCGCGUCGCAUUAGCUAGUUGGUGAGGUAACGGCUCACCAAGGCAACGAUGCGUAGCCGACCUGAGAGGGUGAUCGGCCACGCUGGGACUGAGACACGGCCCAGACUCCUACGGGAGGCAGCAGUAGGGAAUCUUCCGCAAUGGACGAAAGCCUGACGGAGCAACGCCGCGUGAGUGAUGAAGGCUUUCGGGUCGUAAAACUCUGUUGUUAGGGAAGAACAAGUGCUAGUUGAAUAAGCUGGCACCUUGACGGUACCUAACCAGAAAGCCACGGCUAACUACGUGCCAGCCGCCGCAGUAA
rnacentral:rRNA from 1 species